GCUCUAAGAGUAACCCUGCUCAGUACGAUAUCCCUUGUUGAGAACCUUCUUCAAGCAGGUUUUCGCUAUGUAUUGGUGGGAAAGUUUGGACAGGACCCAUUAGAGAGAUUUCUUGGCAUUGUCAGACAUGUUGCUGGAGAUGGAGGACAGCCAACAGUCCAGCAAUUCCUAUUUAUAUAUAGGAUGCUUUCUGUGAAGAAUCUCGUGCAGCCGCCCAAGCGAUCCUCAGUAGCUGGAGAUGGUCCACAACUGCUCCUCAAGCUGCAAGAUGUGUUCAACAAAGAAAAGCCUACUGCCAGUCAUGCUGACUCUUUGGCUGUUCUUC
rnacentral:lncRNA from 1 species